rnacentral:rRNA from 1 species
UUGACAUCCGUAAGAACUUUCCAGAGAUGGAUUGGUGCCUUCGGGAACUUACAUACAGGUGCUGCAUGGCUGUCGYCAGCYCGUGUCGUGAAGAUGUUUGGGUGUUAAGUCCCGCAACGAGCGCAACCCUUUUCCUAUAUUUGCCAGCGAGUAAUGUCGGGAACUUUAAGGAUACUGCCAGUGACAAACUGGAGGAAGGCGGGGACGACGUCAAGUCAUCAUGGCCCAUUACGGCCGAGGGCUACACACGUGCUACAAUGGUCGGUACAAAGGGUUGCUACCUUGCGAUAGGAUGCUAAUCUCAAAAAGCCGAUCGUAGUCCGGAUUGGAGUCUGCAACUCGACUCCAUGAAGUCGGAAUCGCUAGUAAUCGCGGAUCAGAAUGCCGCGGUGAAUACGUUCCCGGCC